rnacentral:lncRNA from 1 species
UCAGUUUCUUAGAAAAUAAAACAUUUUACAGGAUAUAAAAUUCCAAAAUUCUAUGAACUGUCUUUGUUCUCCUCCAAGUGCCAAACAUCAACAUAAAUCAUCCAAGGAUCCAUGUAAUCAUCUAGUAUUUAACUCCUCGACCUACAAAGAAAAAACCAUAAUACUAUUUAGGCAUAAAUUGGAAAUUUGAAGUUUUAAAAUAUAGCUAUGCAUUGUACCAAAAUGGAUCCACUUAAAAAUUAUGUGUCAAGAAAAAAAGGUUGGGAGAGAAGACAUAAGCUUAUGUGUGUCUUGCAGAUAACUUAGAAGAGUACAUAUUAAAACACCAAGCAUCAUUGAUAAAUCAAAUGUGAAUGUUCACUAUGAACAACCAUCAGCAUGUAUGUACUACUAACAAUUAUGCACAUAUUAUACUAUAUUAAUAAUGAGAUGAAUUCAACUACCAACUAAAUGGUAAGUAGGUAACAAUAAUAUCGAAUAUAAAGAAUUGGAUAUUUCCAUCAUCCAAACGAUUCUGCAUUAAUUUGUUUUGCUUCCUAUGAUGUAUUAGGAGAAAAAAUAUCAAUGCCCGCAGCUCGAAAACCAUCACACGAAACUUUGUAGUUACCUGAGAACUAGAAUGUCACAUGUCUGAAUUUUUCAAUCCAUGAUUAAAAUUCUCAGAACCUGUAGAAGCAACAACAACAAAAUAAAUGCAUCAUCAUAUUUGGGACGGUUGGUGUUGCCAACUCAUGCAAAAAAAAGACUAAGACAUGCAUAACGAACUAUGAAAUGGAAAAGGGGAGUUGUGGGUCAUCUUUUUAAUCCUUUCCGCUUGCCAUCAUGCUUGGCCUGAGGCCCUGACCCGGCCUUGCAGGAAAGCAUGAUCUAAUUAUUAAAGAAAAGAUCAUGCCCUAAUUAGUAUAGAAGAGAGGAUAUGAGUGAAUAAUCAAUUAAAAGUUGGGACAGAUAAAUCGGAGGUACCAUACCAGACUGAGCCGCUAUAAGACGCCUGGUUUCCCUCUAUCCACAGCACCACCCAUGAGGAAAUGAGCCACAAACGGAGAUUUAGAAGAGAUGGAGCAUGACCCUGAUCUCGGCCGCCGUAGAUGGGGACGUGAAUUGGUUUGGGCUUCUCUAGGAAAAAGUAGGGGAGUUUUGUUUAUUGAGAAGGUGGUAUCAAAUAUAUUUACAGAACAAAAUAAAUUGAUGUGCCACUAUUUAAUUCUUCAAGACCAACCUAGUACAAAAGUUGAAUACAAAUUUAUGAAAAAGCAUCAGUGGUGACCUAUGUAAUGGCUGAAUAGUCCGAAUAAAAGCAGACCAGGAUUGAAUAGUUUUUUGUCAGUAUUUUCCCAGUUUUAAGAAACACUACCCAUAAGCGAUCAAUGCCAAUGUGGCAUUAUCAUAUAUCAAGAGAAUUUUAUCUUUGUGACCUUUUAGCUUCCUAAUCAUGUAUCAUUUGUCAUGUCAUUGAAUAGCUGACCAUCAGUACCUAUAGGAAUGUACAAAAUGUGGGACUGGGGAAAAUAUGGGAACGUACAAAAUACCUAAUCAAGGAAGCAAAUUGGUUGCCUCACUUUCUGUGGUAAGCUGUACAUAUCCAUCUGACCUGAAGCUGCACCCAUUAAAGCAAGUUAAUCCCCUACAAAUUAGCCAAGGCAAGCUUAGAUCUUAACAGGAUCUUAUUUAUUUGUGCGCCUAUUGUCAAACUUUUGAAAUAAGACCCGCAGGACAAUUUCAUACCAAACAAAUCAGGGUACUGCAAGUGUUUAGAGACUGACAAACUGUUAGCUGACAUCUAGUAGGCAUAAAAAUGCAUGACAAAACACACAUAAUGAUAUAUAGGUGGAAAAUAUAAUUAGAUAUAGGGACAGAAGCUUCUUAUUGGUGGUCCAGAAAGUUGUGCUACUCACCUCUGCCAUGGAAUAAUACAACUCCAGCACGUGAGUGAUUUGCAGGGCUUGGUGAUUUCAUGGUAAGACAACCAGAAGCC